rnacentral:rRNA from 1 species
AGUGAACGCUGGCGGUAGGCCUAACACAUGCAAGUCGAACGGCAGCACGGUAAGAGCUUGCUCUUACGGGUGGCGAGUGGCGGACGGGUGAGGAAUACAUCGGAAUCUACUUUUUCGUGGGGGAUAAUGUAGGGAAACUUACGCUAAUACCGCAUACGACCUACGGGUGAAAGCAGGGGAUCUUCGGACCUUGCGCGAUUGAAUGAGCCGAUGUCGGAUUAGCUAGUUGGCGGGGUAAAGGCCCACCAAGGCGACGAUCCGUAGCUGGUCUGAGAGGAUGAUCAGCCACACUGGAACUGAGACACGGUCCAGACUCCUACGGGAGGCGGCAGUGGGGAAUAUUGGACAAUGGGCGCAAGCCUGAUCCAGCCAUACCGCGUGGGUGAAGAAGGCCUUCGGGUUGUAAAGCCCUUUUGUUGGGAAAGAAAAGCAGCAGGUUAAUACCCCGCUGUUCUGACGGUACCCAAAGAAUAAGCACCGGCUAACUUCGUG